GACGAACGCUGGCGGCGUGCUUAACACAUGCAAGUCGAACGGAAAGGCCCUGCUUUUGUGGGGUGCUCGAGUGGCGAACGGGUGAGUAACACGUGAGUAACCUGCCCUUGACUUUGGGAUAACUUCAGGAAACUGGGGCUAAUACCGGAUAGGAGCUCCUGCUGCAUUGUGGGGGUUGGAAAGUUUCGGCGGUUGGGGAUGGACUCGCGGCUUAUCAGCUUGUUGGUGGGGUAGUGGCUUACCAAGGCUUUUACGGGUAGCCGGCCUGAGAGGGUGACCGGCCACAUUGGGACUGAGAUACGGCCCAGACUCCUACGGGAGGCAGCAGUGGGGAAUAUUGCACAAUGGGCGGAAGCCUGAUGCAGCAACGCCGCGUGCGGGAUGACGGCCUUCGGGUUGUAACCCGCUUUCGCCUGUGACGAAGCGUGAGUGACGGUAAUGGGUAAAGAAGCACCGGCUAACUACGUG
rnacentral:rRNA from 1 species